GAACAAGAGACCAAGAUUUUCACUUAAGAAUUCUCCAUUAGAAGUCCAAAUUUAUUUCAACUUAAAUCUUUGGAUUUCAAAUUCCCUAACCAAAUGUCACCUCAUCAGACAUUUUUUAGAAUUUGAUUGUUUAUGUUUUGCUUUCAAUAAAAUUAUUCAAAUGCACUAUUAUUAUGUAAAGAUUUGUGAAAAUGAAAGUUCGUACUGAGAAUGUUAAGGUGGAUGAGU
rnacentral:misc_RNA from 1 species